GCAGAUCAAAAAGGAAAAAAAAAUGAGAAAAAAGCAAGCAAACAACAACAAAAAGAGUAAAAAUGUUUUAUUGUGAUUCACAGUCAGUCCCCAUAGUUCUCUUUCUGGAUGUGGAUGGCUCUCUCCAUCACAAGUCUAUUGAAAUUGGAUUGAAUCGUCUCAUGGUUGAAAAGAGCCAAGUUCAUUAGAGUUGAGCAUCACAAUCUUGUUGUUGCUGUGUACAAUGUUCUCUUGGUUCUACUCACUUCACUUAGCAUCAGUUCAUAAAGCCACGUCCAUCAGAAUGGAUCAUCAUACAGUAUUGUUGUUGAAGUAUAUAAUGAUCUUCUGCUCCUGCUCAUUUCAUUCAGCAUCAGUUCAUGUAAGUUUCUCCAGGUCUUUCUGAAAUCUUCCUGUUGGUCAUUUCUUUCUUCCUUCCUUUCUUUCUUUCUUUCUUUCUUUCUUUCUUUCUUUCUUUCUUUCUUUCUUUCUUUCUUUCUUUCUUUCUUUCUUUCUUUCUUUCUUUCUUUCUUUCUUUCUUUCUUUCUUCUUUUUUAUUAUAUAGCUUUUAAUUUACAAGAUAUAUGCAUGGGUAAUUUAACAGCAUUGACAAUUGCAAAACCUUUUGUUCCAACUUUUCCCCUCCUUCCCCCCACCCCCUCCUCUAGAUGGCAGGUUGACCAAUACAUGUUAAAUAUGUUAAAGUAGAAGUUAAAUACAAUAUAUGUAUACAUGUCCAUAUAGUUAUUUUGCUGUACAAAAAGAACCGGACUUUGAAAUAGUGUACAAUUAGCCCGUGAAGGAAAUAAAACAUGCAGGCGGACAAAAAUAGUGGGAUUGGGAAUUCUAUGUAGUGGUUCUUAGUUAUCUCCCAGAGUUCUUUCGCUGAGUGUAACUGGUUCAGUUCAUUACUGCUCUAUUGGAACUGAUUUGGUUCAUCUCAUUGUUGAAGAGGGCCAGGUCCAUCAGAAUUGAUCAUCAUAUAGUAUUGUUGUUGAAGUAUAUAAUGAUGCUCUGGUCCUGUUCAUUUCACUCAGCAUCAGUUCAUGUAAGUCAUUCCAGGCCUCUCUGAAAUCAUCCUGCUGGUCAUUUCUUACAGAACAAUCAUAUUCUAUAAUAUUUGUAUGCCACAACUUAUUCAGCCAUUCUCCAAUGGAUGGGCAUCCACUCAUUUUCCAGUUUCUGGCCACUACAAAGAGGGCUGCCACAAAAAUUCUUGCACAUACAGGUCCCUUUCCCUUCUUUAAGAUCUCUUUGGGAUAUAAGCCCAGUAGUAACACUGCUGGGUCAAAGAGUAUGCAUAGUUUGAUAGCUUUUUGAGCAGAGUUCCAAAUUGCUUUCCAGAAUGGCUGGAUGUGUUCACAAUUCCACCAACAAUGUAUCGAUGUCCCAGUUUUCCCACAUCCCCUCCAACAUUUGUCAUUAUUUUUUCCUGUCAUCUUAGCCAAUCUGACAGGUGUGUAGUGGUAUCUCAGAGUUGUCUUAAUUUGCAUUUCUCUGAUUAAUAAUGACUUGGAGCAUCUUUUCAUAUGGCUAGAAAUAGUUUCAAUUUCUUCAUCUGAGAAUUGUCUGUUCAUAUCCUUUGACCAUUUAUCAAUUGAAGAAUGGGUUGAUUUCUUAUAAAUUAGAGUUAAUUCUCUAUAUAUUUUGGAAAUGAGGCCUUUAUCAGAACCUUUGAUUGUAAAAAUGUUUUCCCAGUUUAUUGUUUCCCUUCUAAUGUAGAUGUGUUGAGUUUUAAGAGGUUUCAGAACAUUCACUUUAAGAAGGUCAACAGGCAAAGAUGAACUCAAAGUAGAAAAAAGUUUAGGAUUAGAUAAAGAGAUCUGAGAAUCAUCUGUAGAGAGAUGACAAUUGAAUCUGUGGAAGCUGAUCGCCAAACACAAAGAGUAUGAAGGGAGAAGAGGAGGUCACAGAAUAUAAUCCUGCGUAAUACUUAGAGUUGGCAGAUAUCACUUGGAUGAAGAUCUAUCAACAGAUCAUGAAAAGGAGCCAUCAGACAGGUAGGAGGAAAACUUGGAGAGAACAAUGUCUAGUAAACCAAGAGAGAGAAGCCUAUUCAAGAGAAGAGAAGGAUUAAUAGUAUCAAAAGCUGCAGAGAGAUCAGGAAGAAUGAGGCUUAAGAAAAGACCAUUGAAUCUCACCAUUAGAUCGUUGGUAACUUUGAAAAGAGAAAUUUAAGUUGAAUGAUUAAGUCAGAAACUAGAUUAUAGACAUUUUAAAAGGGGGAGGGGAAAGAAAAUAUGGGUACUGACUGUAGAUGACCUCAAGGAAUUGGCCUUGAAAGGGAAAAGAUAUAGAGGGUAGCUAGUGGGGAUGGAAGGAUCCAGUGAGGAUUUAUUUUUUACUCUUUUUUUUACCUCCUCUUAAUAAUAUUUAUUUUUCAAUUACAUGCAAAGACAGCCUUCGACCUUCAUUUUAGUAAGAUUUUGAGUUCCAAAUUUUAUUCCCUCCCUUGCUCUUCCCUCCCAAGACAGCAAGCAAUCGGACAUAGGUUAUGUAUAUACAAUCAUGUCAAAUACAUCUCCACAUUAGUCAUCCUGAAAACGAAUUUUUUAAAAAGUGAAAAUAAUAUGCCUCCAUCCCCACCCAGUUUCCAUAGUUCUUUCUCUGGAUGUCAAUGGCAUUUCCCCUAACAAGUCUUUUGGAAUUUGAAGAGUCCUGAAUGGUAUGUUGGACAGAGAGAAACUGAAGAAUCCAUCCCUGAGGCAAGCAGGGAGAAGGCACUGAUAAUGAAUAGUUUAGCUCCUUGGUUUCACCUACCCAAGUUAUGUCAAACCUCUGAGGUCCAUCCUCUAUAGGGGUCUCAAGCAGCUUCACCUUGUCAUGUCCUGUCAGAAAUCCCAGUCAUGUCCUUGAGGUUAAAUUUUCCCUCUAAAAUCUAUUUAAAGCCAUGCCAUACUCACUGCCCUCCUUUGGGUCAGGCUGCCAUAGCACUCUGCCUCGUGGUGUCUUUCUCCUUACCCCCAUGCCAUAUGAUCGCUCCUAACCCCACUGCUCCUCCUUAUAGCUAACUAACUCUUUUGGGAUACUACAUCCCUUUCAGGAUUUAGCCUGCCAGCUAAGGGCAUGCCCCAAUCUCAUGGUGGGGGGUGUUCUCCUGGUCAAUGGUAAGUCCUACUUGGGAACCUGUCCUUUCUACCAUUAAUUAUUAAAACCCCUUCCUAUGCUCUCCCAACUCUAUUUCAUAUUUACCGCUCCCGGUUGUUGGAAUCUUUACAAACUGCUAACUAAUUAGAGUUGAUCUAAUCUUACAAGAAGAUGUUUUGGGCAGAACCUGAAACAAGGUACUAAGUAGAACUGAUUAGUACAAUGCUUGUGUUUGCACCUUUACUCAUUGGAGUUCACAAGUAUGCCAGCUUCACAAAGUAAACUUUGUAACUUUGGGAGUUCACACCUCCCUUGAAGCUCUUUGGGCCAGAGAGCACUAUGGGAGAAAACCCAUAAUCCCUCUCUCUCGUAUCCCACAAUUCCUCCCUCUUGUAUAAAAGAAACAGACAGAGGCUCUCGGUGAGAUUUCAGUGGAAUUAUGCCAGAAGUCCUCUCUCCGAGGAAAGGCAAGAGAGAAUAUAUUCCACUUGGUUGGCUGGUCGCAGAAGAGAGUUCAGCUGGACUGGAGAGGAGCACUCUGGUGCAGACAGAGAGCACUUUGAUAGAUUUCACCGGAAUGACAUGAAGAGUGGAGCUGGCUGGAGGCUGAAGAAAUCAGAGGCAGAGGCUGAAGGACAAAACCUUUGGAUUUGGUGACAUUCGGAGGGAGCUCUUGGAACCAAGCAGAAAGAUAGGCCUCUAAGCUAACCGGGCUAUAUUGGAGAUAAUAAAAGAUCUGAACUUUUAUCACCUGGCUGUGUUUUGAGAAGAAAAAGCUCACCACACCCGGUAUCUAUUGUAUCCCAUCUAUUCCUCUAACUAAAUCUACCCUUUGCCCCAGAGAAA